UCCAAGGUUAGAUUGCUAAAUGUUCUGUCA
rnacentral:piRNA from 1 species